AUUGAACGCUGGCGGCAGGCCUAACACAUGCAAGUCGAACGGCAACAGGAAGCAGCUUGCUGCUUCGCUGACGAGUGGCGGACGGGUGAGUAAUGUCUGGGAAGCUGCCUGAUGGAGGGGGAUAACUACUGGAAACGGUAGCUAAUACCGCAUAAUGUCGCAAGACCAAAGAGGGGGACCUUCGGGCCUCUUGCCAUCGGAUGUGCCCAGAUGGGAUUAGCUUGUUGGUGGGGUAACGGCUCACCAAGGCGACGAUCCCUAGCUGGUCUGAGAGGAUGACCAGCCACACUGGAACUGAGACACAGUCCAGACUCCUACGGGAGGCAGCAGUGGGGAAUAUUGCACAAUGGGCGCAAGCCUGAUGCAGCCAUGCCGCGUGUAUGAAGAAGGCCUUCGGGUUGUAAAGUACUUUCAGCGGGGAGGAAGGGAGUAAAGUUAAUACCUUUGCUCAUUGACGUUACCCGCAGAAGAAGCACCGGCUAACUCCGUG
rnacentral:rRNA from 1 species